rnacentral:lncRNA from 1 species
GGAAUUAUGGACACUCUUCUUGCACUUCCUGUUGUGAGUAUAAUAAUAACUUNAGACCAUCAAAUUGUUUUAUCACACUACACACAAUACUCAUUAUAAUAAGCGUAUUAGAAAGUAAAAUGAUCAAAGAAAAUAUGCUUUUCGGCNAGUGAGUUAGUGAAAUAAUACUUGACUUGGAAAGAUUGGAGAAUUAAUGGUUUUUUAUUCUCAUUAACUUACAAGUUUACUCUGAAGUGCUUUUUACAGCAAAGUUUUAUCAUUCUCAUCACUUAUACUUUGGCAGAGUUUUUACUAUGUAUAAACCCCUUAAUAUCAUAUAUCAUAUAUUGAAUACUGCAUCAGCCAGAUUAUAUUAUUCAUACAUACGUGUUAGUUAUCUGAAUUCCAGGAAGCAUUUUACUCACAUUGUGUAUAUAGAUUCCAUUUAUCUAUUUCCAUUCUUGUAGGAAAAACCCUGAACAGAAGAGAACAAUGAGAUAUUGUCCAUACUUGUCAAUAUGGAUUCAAUUUUGAGGAGGCUUGCACAACUAUAGACAAAUGUGGUGUGUUUAGUGUGUAAUUGUUACUCUUAUAUAUGUUAUCAACACAUUUUAAGUUUCUUUUUGUUUUAUUUUCGUCUCUCCAGUAUCAGCCGUAUUAAAUGGUCUAAGAUGGUCAAUUAAAUAAUGAAAAAGGAGAUUUGUCUGGUGAUGGUUCUUAAAUAUUUAUUUUUGAGCAACAUUUGUCAGGUCCUAAAGCGGUGAUCUGGUAGAUUUCAUCANUGCUUUUCAAUUAGAAGAUGAAAUUGACUUGCUUCAAGAUCUGCCUAAAGAUAAACAUGUUGCACCUGUUGAUACAUAGAGGUAUGGUGAGGUUUAUAAUCCUAUGAAAUUAGUUCUGCUUGUAAUUAAAAUAUCAGUAAAGCAAGUAGUUUUUAUCAAAGUUAGUAAUUAAAAUAUUAUUAACUAAUUUUAUAUUAUUUUCUUUUUNGCAGUAUUUUUCUAGUUGAAGACGUCAACAAUAUCUUGACAAUUAAAUCAUUAAAGUUAGGAAAGACUGGUGUUUAUAUGUAAUUAGUAUAUGUUCA